AUGCGUAUUUCCCGAGAUGUGACUUUUGAUGAGUCUCGCCCCUUCUACCCGCGUCCAUCCUCCUCGGGUUUUUCAGCGGAGGACAUCUCUUUUCUUACGUUUCCAGAUACACCUCCCUCUGUGCCCAGUAUUCCUAUUCCUCGUCCUGCUAUUGCAGAUCAUACGCCGUCCUCUCCUACAGUGUCUUCUCCUCCCUCAUCUUAUGACUCUCCACCUUCAUCACCGAUACCUUCCCCUUCUCCACCUUCAUCGCCGACACAUUCUCCAUCUCCACCUCCAGUGAUUCCACCUCUUCCCUCCUUCCCUUUCCAUUAUACUCGCCGUCCACGUGUUGUGGAUAAAUCCACUGACGUGUCAUCUACUUCUGGUGCGUCCUCCUCCUCAUCCCAGCCGACUUAUGGUCUUCGAGCUCGGCCUCGCCCUCCCCCUGACCGCUAUUCUCCUAGUCGAUAUGGUCUUUCGGCUGUACUUGAGCCUACCUCUUAUCACGAUGCUAUGUUCGUGUGCUAA
rnacentral:rRNA from 1 species